CAAACACAGAACUGCAGUGAGAACCAGAAGAAAGCAAUCUGCAACUAACUUUUGUGUAAUUGAUAGUCAUUUAAUUAAGGAUAGUGAGAGGGACUUCUUGAAGGAAUGAUCCCCUGGUGUGAGAUGGUAGAACAAGGGAUGUGCCAAGCUUUGAGAAAUCUGAUGGUGGAGCGGUCGAGGCUGUUCCUAAAACAUUGAGAAUGCAUCUUCAGGUUCCUGUACCUCCUCCCUGAUGAUAGCAAUGAGAAGAGAACAAGUCCUGCAUUCAACACUGGCAAGCCAGCAACCAACAAGAAGUCCUACAAGAAUCCUACAACCCAUGGAGGACCAUUGUGGAGAUUGAAAACAUAUUCUGAGUGACAACAGACAGAAUCAGAUGUAUAAUAGUUUUACAUACCAUUACUGUCUAAACCCAACAGCAUAAAUUAAUGGCAGUGAAUGAAAACUCAAAGAAAGUGACAAAGCCGGGAAAUAGGACAUUGAAGAAGGCCAAUGCCAUGCUUCCCUUCAUUGGUCCAGGAAAUAGAAUAUAACAUUUGUAACAUCAGGCCACUGUAUAACUGAUGAUUAUGUUGGGGGAGCAUCAUCGGCGCUGGUGAUGCAAAAAGACUAAAUAAACUCAUCCUUGGCUACAAUCCGGACUCUUCUGAGUGAGUGGUGGAGAGUCAUAGUCAUAGUCAUAC